CAAAACAUAGCUAGUUAGUAAGUUCCUCCUUUACGCGGAGUAAACACUUGUGCAAUUCGAGUUGUUUUGA
rnacentral:tRNA from 1 species